ACAGGGAUUGCCCCAGUAACGGCGAGUGAAGCGGCAACAGCUCAAAUUUGAAAUCUGGUCCCCUCUGGGGGCCCGAGUUGUAAUUUGAAGAGGAUGCUUUUGGCGAGGCGCCGUCCGAGUUCCCUGGAACGGGACGCCGCAGAGGGUGAGAGCCCCGUACGGUCGGACGCCGAGCCUCUGUAAAGCUCCUUCGACGAGUCGAGUAGUUUGGGAAUGCUGCUCAAAAUGGGAGGUAAACCCCUUCUAAAGCUAAAUACCGGCCAGAGACCGAUAGCGCACAAGUAGAGUGAUCGAAAGAUGAAAAGCACUUUGAAAAGAGAGUUAAAAAGCACGUGAAAUUGUUAAAAGGGAAGCGCUUGCGACCAGACUUGCGCCCGUCGGAUCAACCGUCGCUUGCGGCGGCGCACUCCGGCGGGCUCAGGCCAGCAUCAGUUCGCUCGGGGGGAGAAAGGCGGCGGGAAUGUGGCUCUACGGAGUGUUAUAGCCCGCCGUGUAAUACCCUCGGGUGGACUGAGGACCGCGCGUAUGCAAGGAUGCUGGCGUAAUGGUCGUCAGCGACCCGUCUUGAAACACGGACCAAGGAGUCGUCCUAAUAUGCGAGUGUACGGGUGUCAAACCCCUGCGCGUAAUGAAAGUGAACGGAGGUGAGAGCUUCGGCGCAUCAUCGACCGAUCCUGAUGUUCUCGGAUGGAUUUGAGUAAGAGCAUAUUGGGCCGGACCCGAAAGAAGGUGAACUAUGCCUGUGUAGGGUAAAGCCAGAGGAAACUCUGGUGGAGGCUCGCAGCGGUUCUGACGUGCAAAUCGAUCGUCAAACAUGGGCAUGGGGGCGAAAGACUAAUCGAACCUUCUAGUAGCUGGUUUCCGCCGAAGUU
rnacentral:rRNA from 1 species